CCAUAUAUUAGAUGAAAUGAUUGCAAAAUGAAUAACAACAGAACUUCCCUCAUUUUGUAGCUCUGUGUUCUAAAAAUACAAAUUUAACAAAGAAUAAUAAGUACAGUAUCUUUGGAUUAAAAAAGUUUAUAUUAUGUCAGAAUUUAUCUCAUCAUCUUAUAACAAACCACUAUAUACAAUACAAUAUAUUGCACACACAGUAAAUCUACUUCUAGGUUUCCUGGAAUGUUGAUCUCCACAUUAUGUUUUGUUGCGUACUGUUUAAUUAAAACUGUUAGUUAAUGUUGAAUUCUUAUAGUAUAUAUUCUGACUUACUAUAUAUUUACUAAGUUUAAGUACCACCCUGAUUAAGUGACAUGAUCCUCGAUUAUGCGCCAAUCUCGUUCCCAGAGCAUGCCCGUUCGCACGUUAGUGUUGGGCAUAGCUCUGGAGAAAUCAAAUGAGAUACUACAUUUCAUUGGUUGACGCCAACAUCGGGAUUUGUGCGGGAUUUCCGCGUGGAUAUACACGGAAACCCACAAAGUGAAGCAAUUUAUAAAACAGAUCUUACAGAUGUUGAUUUCUUCUUUGAUUUCUUACAGAUAUAUGUUUUAGUAUUUAUAAGAAUUUGUAAUUUUGCAAAAUUUUAACGUUUGCUGCUGAUGUUCUAUUUGAAUAUCAAUAUAUAAACAGUUUGAGACUUGAAAUUGUAUGAAUGAUUUACCAUAUAAGAUUGCUGAUCUUAGACGUGUUGUGGAUGGGAAAUAACAAAUUAUACUAAACUUCUUAAUUCUUAAUUUCUGUUCAGAGCCUUAAUUUAAUUAACAAUUAUUCGCCGAAAGCGAGAUGAUUAUCGGUGAAUAAAAUACCGAGACGAAGUUUUUCAUCUGAGAAUCUAUGAUUUUUUUUAAUCUUUAACAAAUGGUUUUGGUACGGCUUUUCAUUUGAUCCGGAUUUUUAUUUGAUACUAACAUUUCUUCAAUGACAAUGCUAUAUAUUUAUUAAAGAUAUAAUUAUUAUAUUUAAGUCAUUCAAUAAACUUCACUAACCACCCAGAAUAGCUUUUCUUCAAUUGCGAUUACUUCCUUUUUUUAAAUUUUCUUUAUACAUCGUUGUACAAUUAUCAUUAUUCAAAUUUAAAUUAUUAUUUUGUUAUAUUAAACAUGCAUUGAGUGGCAACACUCUCCCCCUGACGAGUAAAAUCAUCUGGCGUUAGACAGAGUAAAAUAAUGAAGAAGGGCACUAGUCUGAUUAACCCAUUGAGUGGCAGCACUCUCCCCCUGACGAGUAAAAUCGUCUGGCGUCCCUUCCCUUUCAAAGUCUUCCUUAUUUAAAUUGUAUUAUUCUCUAGUACAUCCUUGUUUACAGUAUUGUUUAAUUGUUUGGGGUUCUACCUAUACGCAACAAAUUUAAAACGCAUUAUCUUGCUUCAAAAGGGCAUUAUUAGAAUUAUUAAUAAACUAAGAAACAUCUAAUGCACACACUCACCCGAUUUUUGCUGAAGUUAAGACAUUGAAAUUUGAAAAAAUAUAUUUGUAUCAGCUAGGGAAAUUUAUGUAUUUAUCUCGAAAUAAUUUACUACCAAAAAUUUUGAUAAUCUCUUUCUUCGUACAAGUCAAGUUCAUAACUAUAAUACACGUCAUUCGGACUUGUAUCACAUCCCCUUUUGCAGAACAAACAUUUGAAAAUUCUCUUAGUUAAAAUUAGUUACCAAGCCCCGAAAUUUUUUAAAACAUUAAGUUGCGAUAUUCGCAAUGCGUCAAGUGUUUCUUCAUUUCAGUCAAAAUUUAAAAAUACUUGUUUUCCUCGUAAUUGCCUUAACAUUCAUUAUUUUUCUUCAUUUGACAAUCGAAAUUUUUAUUUUAUUGCUUUUAUUAUUCAUCUGUAAUUAUAUAUUAUUAAUACUGUAAUUACUGUAUUUUGAUAUCAGUGUAUUGAUAUCAGUAAUUCAGUAUAAUUAUUGUUUCCACACUGCCGUCUCCAUAUCUAUCAGAGCAAGUUUGUAUAUAAAGGAGCCCAAUUUUAUAAGCCUUUUGGUUUCUUUUGGGCUACCUUGCCUUCUCCUUGCUUCUUUGGGUACUUAUAAUAGCUUCUUUGGGUUACUUAUAAUGUAAAAUAAUGAAAAAAAAUUCUCGAACUCGAAUUUUGUGAACCAGGGGGGUGUCUUUUCCAACAAACUAAAAAUGGCUUUGCGCACGAAAUUUAAAAGCUUUAUAUUAAUCAUAUUUUGAGUUAAUAGAUGGAAAAUUUGUUGGGUUUUUAAUUACUCAGUACAAACUUUCAGACAAUUUGCUUCAGUUUAAGCCCUUUAACUAUUCACGCAAACUUACAUUUUUCCCUAAAAAUCAGCUAUUUGCAUGCUUAAUUAAUGCCUUUGCCUAAUUUGCAUAUGUCAGGAAUAUGUAAAUUAGGUAAAGGCAUUAAUUAAGCAUGCGAAAGGCUGAUUUUUUAGGAAAAAAUGAAUAGCUGAAGGGGCUUAAACUAAAGCAAAUUGUCUGAAAUUUUGUACAGUAAUUAAAAACCCAACAAAUGUUCCAUCUAUUAACUCAAAAUAUGAUUAAAGCUUUUAAAUUUCGUGCGCAAGCCAUUUUUAGUUUGUUGGAAAAGACACCCCCUCCCUGGUUUACAAAGUUUGAGUUCAAGAAAUUUUUUUCAUUAUUCUACAUUAUAAGUACCCAAAGAAGCUAUAUACAUAAAAAACUGGAUACUAAUAGCUGUUUUGCGAAAUUGAGAGCAAUUUCAAAUCUGUUCAGUUUUUUAUACACCCUGUAUAGUGUGUAACUAACAACAGCGUGUAAAUUGUAAUUUUGCAAUUUGUAAUAAAGUUUCCAGUUUCAGUUUUCUAAACAACAACAUGGCUGUAACGAUCUCACUAACUCUGUUUUAAAUGCUGUAAAUAUUAAAGUUCCUGAAGACAGCAACAGCAUAUAAGAGUUGACUUACGCUUAACUAUCAGGGAUACUAGCAGCAGGUUGCAGCCAAACACACCUGGCAUUUUGCAUGCAACAGUAGCUAAUUUGACUUGUAUAUCAUGCAUGCUCCUUUGCUGAUGUAUGCCUCAUGACUACAGCAGGUUUAAUGAUUUACUUAACAGAGACAUCUAUCUAUCUCAUACAGCCCUUCAGGUAUCCGUUUGAAGUCUUGGCUAGGCCUAAAAAAAUACCUGUGGUUCCGUUUCCCGACAGACCCUAUUUCUUUCUGCCGACCCUAUUAUUUUUUCAACGCGAUUGACCGUGCAACCCUAUAUUCUCCGGGUGGUUGCGGGCUGCUCAUACAGCGUGCCAAAAUGGCGUCUGUUGUCACACUAAUAGUAUUGAACUAAAUUGCCAAAAUUCGUCCAUAGGAAAUACGCAUCUCUAGUUAAUACUGAUGUCGCGACUCUACUACAAAUCGCCCAGCAAAAAAAAACUGCCAAAACCAUGAAAAAAAUAUUCCAAAAAAAAUUUAUUUCCGACCUACCCCCUAACCGAUCCUAAUUUUUUCACGAUAUGAAACCGGGCGGAACCACAGGUAUAUUUUUUUAAGCCCUAAUAAUAAUAUGGCUAUGGCCAAUGGUAGUCAAUUUAUCCCGGGCGUUCUGUGACCCCCGUCCGCGAUCAAAUCAGAUCAUGUCAGCGGCUCAACAUUUAGCAUUAACACAAUUCGAAUUCGCGCGCGAAUUAUGGAAAUUGGCGCGAACUACAAAAUGGCCGGAAGUGACAGCGAAAAAACAUUUCUAAAAUACAAUUUAUCGAAUUUUGAAAGAAGGGGCAAUUUAAUAAUAGUAGUUUACAGUGCAGUUGUAACUCCCCUAUGUUGUCUAGUAAUUCCACACUUAUUAAACUGUGUUGUCUAGUAAUUCCACACUUAAAAAGUAAACCUGACCCGAACUCUAACCCUAAUCUAACCAAAAGGUAUUGUAUAAAGACAAUCUCAGGAAAAAUCUUAGAGAAAAAAUAUGAGAACGAAAAACAAAAGGUUGGCCAUCGCGGGAUUUGAACCGCCAAUCAGCAGCAUGUGAGAACGCACGCAACGCCCUAGACUGGGACUGGUUCC